rnacentral:rRNA from 1 species
UACGAAGGGGGCUAGCGUUGUUCGGAAUCACUGGGCGUAAAGCGCACGCAGGCGGAUCGUUAAGUCAGGGGUGAAAUGCCGAGGCUCAACCUCGGAACUGCCUUUGAUACUGGCGAUCUUAGAGUCCGGGAGAGGUGAGUGGAACUCCGAGUGUAGAGGUGAAAUGCGUAGAGAUCGGCAGGAACACCCAGGGGGAAACCAGUCGACUGGGCAUCUACUGACGCUGAGGUGCGAGAGCGUGGGGAGCGAACCGG